GCGGUUGUAGCUCAGUUGGUUAGAGCGCCAGAUUGUGGCUCUGGAGGCCGGUGGUUCGAUCCCUCCCAACCGUACCA
rnacentral:tRNA from 1 species